GGGCAAGCCAUGCUAAUGUGCUGAAUAGAGAAGAAAAAUAAAGGAAAAUAGUUCUUGGAAAUAGGAAGUAAAUAUUCAUUGAAUAAUAUUGAAUGAAACAAAUUCAUUCAACAAAUAUUGACUGCCAGGAGUAGGUACUGUGCUAAGUACUGUGUAAACUCAUAGGUUAUAUGGUAGAUCUUUAAUAAAUAGAGGCUAUAAUAAUCGUAUCUUGCACAAAUUAUUUUGCUCAUUAAGAAAGGUCUUUGGAGUCAAGUUGGCUGGGGUUCAAACUGAGGCAAUUUACAUCCUAUCUAAAGCAAAAAAGGGACACUGACAAAUGAAAAAGAAACAGCAAGUGGAAAGGAAAAACAAAGGAGACAGAAUGCAGUGAAUGGAAGAACAGCUAAAAUAAGAAAAAAGUAAAUCCAUAAUUGAUAUCUUCAGAGAGAUAAGAUCAAGAUCCUGGAGAAGGAAUUGCUAAUUUUAGAAAGAACUCUUGUGAAUUAAAAAUAGCACAGCUGAAGUUAACUAAUAGCACAGGUGAAGUUUGGAAGAUAAAUUGGAGGAAAUCUCUCAGAAAGUGGAACAAGGAGACAUGGAAUGGAAAAUAGGGACAAAAUAAGAAAAUGAGAUUAAUCUUGGAAGCCCAAUAUUUGACUAAUAGGUUUUCCAGAGGUAGAACAAAGACAAUGGUUGAGAAGAAAGACUAUACAAAAGAUUUCCCAGAACUCAAGAAUAGUCGUCUCCAGAUUGUAAAGUCCCACAGAGUGUCCACAGGGUCUUUGUGGACAGCCAUACAGGUGUGUCUAUGGAUUAAGAUGAGAUUAGUGCUCCCUAAAGUGGUGCAGUGCACAACAUGUACAGCUGUGUGUGGCCACCAAAUGAAUGCAAAAAGACCCAUGCCACAGCAUUUCAACUAGAAAUUACAGAGUAUUAGGCAUAAAAAAAUAACCUCAAAUCCUUCAGAGAGGAAAAAUAAGUCACAUCCAGAACCUUAGAACAAGAAUGGCAUCAGACUUCUCAAGAGAAACAUCAUAACAGAAGACCAUGGAAAAAUGCUUUGCAAAUUCUGAGGGAAAAUGAUUUCCAAGCUAUAAUUCUAUACCUAGCUAUAUCAGUUAGUAUUCUUAAUUGUCAACAGCAGAAUCUAUAUAGUUAGUUUAAGCAGAUAAGAAACUUAUUGACUUCAGAUUGCUUAGGUGGUUUAUGGAAUUUUCUGGUGAGCCAGAGAAUGCAGGCUUGUAUACCAAGGUGCCAGGUCCACACCCAAAGACCACUGUGGGAGCUGCACUUGAGAAGACAUCUCCACUACCACACCUGGCACAGACAGCACAGCUGGCUGCAUGAUGAAGAAGCUUCACUCUUGAGCCAUCCCUCCCCUCCAGACUAGAUGUCUCUAUUUCCAUCAUUUUCCAAAAAGGUGGAUUCUGCAAACAACUACUAUCUCACGUUGCUUACUUCUGAACUGAAGUCUCAUAGAGAAAUCUGCUGAAAGAAGUUCUACCUACACGAGGCUGUAAACCAAGGAAAAUUAAGACACAGGAUCCGGGAAACAGGCAUCCAUCUCAGAUGAGACAAAGGGAAUCCCCAUCAUGGUGGUGGCAAGAACCUUCAAGUUAAAGACUGGGCAGCGGGUCAGCCUGGAGCAGGAGGACUCUGGGCUUCAGGAGGCCUGGCUGUACGAAGACAGUUUACCUAACGAGUGAUCUUAGUUCCCCGACCAGGGAUCGAACCCGGGCCCUUGGCUGUGAGAGCAUGGAGUCCUAACCACUGGACCACCAGGGAAUUCCCUAAGCACAUUAUAUUAAAAUAUAGAGGCAGAAAAAGACCUGUAUGCAGAAAACUGUAAGAUACUGAUGAAAGAAAUCAAAGACGACACAAACAGAUGGAGAGAUAUACCAUGUUCUUGGACUGGAAGAAUCAAUAUUGUGAAAAUGACUAUACAACCCAAAGCAAUCUACAGAUUCAGUGCAAUACCUAUCAAAUUACCAAUGGCAUUUUUCACAGAAUUAGACAAAAAAUUUUACAAUUUGUAUGGAAACACAAAAGACCCCGAGUAGCCACAGCAAUCUUGAGAAAGAAAAACGGAGCUGCAGGAAUCAGGCUCCCUGACUUCAGACUAUACUACAAAGCUACAGUAAUCUACACAGUAUGGUACUGGCACAAAAACAUGGAACAGGAUAGAAAGCCCAGAGAUAAACCCACGCACCAAUGUUCACCUAAUCUAUGACAAAGGAGGCAAGAAUAUACAGUGGAGAAAAGACAGUCUCUUCAAUAAGUGGUGCUGGGAAAACUGGACAGCUACAUGUAAAAGAAUGAAAUUAGAACACUCCCUAACACCAUACACAAAAAUAAACUCAAAAUGGAUUAAACACCUAAAUGUGAAGCCAGACACUACAAAACUCUUAGAGGAAAACAUAGGAAAAACACUCUCUGACAUAAAUCUCAGCAAGAUCUUUUAUGACCCACCUCCUAGAGAAAUGGAAAUAAAAACAAAACUAAACAAAUGGGACCUAAUUAAACUUAAAAGCUUUUGCACAGCAAAGGAAACCAUAAACAAGACGAAAAGACAACCCUCAGAAUGGGAGAAGAUAUUUUCAAAUGAAGCAACUGACAAGGCAUUAAUCUCCAAAAUAUACAAGGAGCUCAUGCAGCUUAAUAUUAAAAAAACAAACUACCCAAUCCAAAAAUGGACAGAAGACCUAAAUAGACAUUUCUCCAAAGAAGACAUACAGAUGGCCAGCAAACACUUGAAAAGAUGCUCAACAUCACUAAUUAUUAGAGAAAUGCAAAUCAAAACUACAAUGAGGUACCACCUCAUUAUAAGUGAUAACAUAGAGUAUUUGUCUUUGUCUGACUUAUUUCACUUAGCAUAAUACUGUCUAGGUCCAUCCAUGUUGCUGCAAAUGGCAGUAUUUUAUUCUUUAUAUGGCUCAGUAAUAUUCCAUUGUUAUACCACAUCUUCUUUACCCAUUCAUCUGUUGAUGGACACUUAGGUUGCUUCCAUAUCUUGGCUAUUGUAAAUAAUGCUGCUAUGAGCAUUGGAGUGCAUGUAUCUUUUCAAAUUAGUGUUCUCAUGUGCUUUGGACAUAUACCCAGGCGUGGAAUAGCUAGAUCAUGUGGUAUUUCUAUUUUUAGUUUUUACAGGAACCUCCAUACUGUUCUCCAUAGUGGCUGCACCAAUUUACAAUCCCACCAGCAGUGUACACGGUUUCCCUUUUCAGGGAGUGAUUUUCCUUGAUGUAUCUUGGCUUAAGAUAUAAUUUUGUGUUUUUUCUUAUAGAAUUAAACAUGCUAAUUAUAGAAAAUACAAAUAUCUUAGAUAUGUUUUGGUAAGAUCCCAUGGGAGGAUUCUGCUAGAAGUGAAAGGGUUUGGGAUUUGAGAUCAGAGCUGUAUUAAGACCUUGCCACUGGAAGUGUGUGUGACUUUAGACAGGGAGAGAGUUCCUUAUUCUCCCUGAACUUUGGUUGAUGUCUUCACCUUUUAAAUUGGGUGAAUAUGGUUGACACCUUUUGGGUUUCUCAGUUCUCACCCCCUUUCUCUGGAAACUUCCCUUUGCCCUUGUCCAUUGGAAUCAACCACUGGCAAGACUUCCGCCCCCCCUCUCAUGGCUGAUUCUACCUAGGUGUGCACGUCUGAUUGCAGCCAGACUCAGUUUCUUUCAUUUGGAAAUUUGGCACAUCUGUGGGCCUGGAAUAGUAACCUUUGAAUUUAGGGGACCAUAUGUGUAAUCUCUUCCACAGAGUCCUGGAGGAGCAGAGAAAGUAGGGCGUUUGCAGAAAGAGAGAAGCAUGAAGUAAUUGUGCAGAGAGAUCUGGGUGAUAUAUGGAGAGAGAGUCCUGAGAUUUUCAUUUUCUGACACUGACCCCUUUCGAAGGCCCCACUGCCUUUCUGCAUUCUUGUAAUAAAUUAACCUUUUUCCCUUAAGCUGUUUCAAGUUAGUUUUCAUUACUUACAAAUUGAGUCUUAUUUCACGCAGGAUAAAAGCAGCUGUCUGUAGAGCUUAUGCGCUCCCCCAUAUUGCCUGGCCCUACCUCCACACUUGGACUUUGGUCCUUGCUCUGUGGAUAUUUCACCCAUCACCUCGUCUCCUUGCACCACUGGCUGCCCUCACCUCCUCUGCAGUGUGGCUUCAGCAUAGCACCCAUCAUGGUGGGAGUUGUAGUGGUUUCAGUGACAUUGGAUUGGAGCCCAAGGAGUAUAAUACAACUUCUUCCGCUUCUUCUGGACUCCAAGGAAACACUGAAACAUAGGUCAAAGGAUCUGGCUUCUCCAGCACCUACUUAACGGGCUAGUAACCCAAUCUGGAAGCGUGGUAUAGUCCAUCAGUUGGCUUUUGCUACAAAGCCCCAAACUUAAUGCUUUUAAACAACAAACACUUAUUUCUCACAAUUCUAAGGAUGAUCGGGCCGUUCUUUUAGUCUGGGCUCAUCUGGGACUGGCUGAUGUAGAAUGGAGUCACAGGUCUGUUGGUUGGCAGGCUGAUUGGUCUUGGGCGGGGGGGCUUCACCCACAUGUCUGGCAGUUGGGUCAGUGUCAGCUGAGACAACUUCAUGAGUGGCUCAUCACCCAGCAGAUCAGCCCAGGGUCAUUUUCAUGGUGGCAGAAGUUCCCAGCAGUAAGAGAGGGCAAGCCCGGAUGCUCAAGCACUUUUCAAGUUUUCUGUUCAGCAUCAUAUUUGCUAAUGUCCCCUUGGCCAAAGUCACAUGACCAAACCAAGGUUCAAGGGCUGGAGAAAUAAAUUCCUCCUCUUUUUUUAAAAACAUCUUUAUUGGAGUAUAAUUGCUUUACAAAAAUUCCUCCUCUCGUUAGGAAUUGCUGUGCACUCACAUUUCGAAGGGCCAUGCAGUCAGGAAUGGGAGGAAUUACUGCAACCAUUCUUGCAAACAAUCUACCGCAGGGUGUUAAUGCCUGCUUAGGGUGAACUUUGACACUAGAAGGUAGAACGACAAGCUCCACAGGCCAAACCCUCUCUCUCUUCUUCUUCCCCAGUGGACUAUUCUGAGGUGCACUGGUUCCACAUACUCACCUUGGAGAUGUCCUGGGUGACCGUGCAGCUGUCUUGGGAGAUUUCCUUCCUCCCUUAUUCCUCAUUCCCUCCGCUUGCUGCCCUGGUAUUAUACUCGCCCGCAAAGCAUUGCAAAGAGGGUUUUAUUCAGCUUUGUUUCAUAGGUAUUCUGAGUUAAGACACUAUUAUAUCAGAUUCUUGAGAAGAUUAAAGGGUAUAUGUUUCUGGGAUCUACUCUAUAAAUUGUAACUUUUAUUAUUCUUAUUACUAACAAAAAUAUUUCACAACAGUAAAAUCUGAAUGAACUUUAAGAGCUGUUAUUAUAUAGGCGACAUUCUCAAAUCACACUGCGGCAAAAUUAGAAAUUAGUAAGUUUAAAGAAAACACAACCUGAUGGAAAUAAACAAGCAAACAAAAGACGAAACCCACAAAGGCUCCUAUAUAGUAUCUGGUCAAUAAUACAAACAACAGACUAUUUACAAAAUAGAUGGAAAAAAUAAUAUUUAAAAAUCUCCAUGGGGACAUCCCUGGUGGCUCAGUGCUUAAGAAUCUGCCUGCCAAUGCAGGGGACAUGGGUUCGAGCCCUAGUCCAGAAGAUCCCACAUGCCACAGAGCAACUAAGCCCCUGCACCACAACUACUGAGCCUGUGCUCUAGAGCCCACGAGCCACAACUACUGAAGCCCACGUGUCACAACUACUGAAGCCCACGCGCCUAGAGCCCGUGCUCUGUAACAAGAGAAAUCACAGCAAUGAGAAGCCCACGCACUGCAACAAAGAGUAGCCUCCGCUUGCUGCAACUAGAGAAAGCCCGUGUGCAGCAAAGAAGACCCAAUGCAGCCAAAAAUAAAUAAAUUUAUUUUAAAAAAUUUAUAUAAAAAUAAUCUCCAUGGUAUGUAGCCAGAAUUAUUCACAUGAUUAAAUUCCUUAUUCGUAUUGAUAAACAAACAAACAAAAAAGAAAACAAAAAGACAUAAUGUAUUUGACUUAAAAUUUCAGAGAAAAGAACAAAAACAUACCCAAGGAGAGAGACAAACAAGAUAGCGGGGGUGUGCGGGAAUCCGCUUUUAGUGGCUCAUGAGAGCUGCUUGUUCAGCUUUCAGGAACUUGGUGAAGUGGUUGUUAAACUCAGGCAUUAUUUAAAAUUGCAUUAUAUAAACUUAAAUCCACUGUAUAAAAAACAAAAGUAAUAAAUACUCAAGUCAUCACUUCCUAUUUUACUCCAUUUCACUAUUGUAUAUGGCCUUGAGUUCAUUUAUGUCUUUGGAUAUGCAUGGUGGAAAUACGAUGUAAUAGCAUCCUACUGAGCUUCUAUUCCCAAUUCUGCAUUCACUGAUAUCCCAUUGGUGGCUGGAAAUCAGCCACAGUGGAAGUAUUUACACCACAGUAUUUGGCAGUGCUACCAAUCAGAGUCAUUGCUUUCUCCUCCUCCUCCUCCUUUUCCACAGAGCUGUUGUUAAACAUUUACCAGCUUACCACUGACCAGAGGUAAAUAAUCUUUUUUUAAGGAACAUGAAUUUUCCAGCGUGAGAUUAGCAGAAAAAUGAAGAUAAAGCAUUAAGAUACUUAUAAAGUUUGCACUCAUUUCAGUGCUCUGGGAUGCUCUAAAUCUCAGGGAUACAUUUCUUUGGUUGGGAUGCUUGCAGUUAAAUCAGUUCUAACUAAUGCAAGAUGGACCUUAAUACUCAAGAGUGACCCAGAUCUCAAACUGUUUCUCUGGAUUGCUGAUGAGUAAGGACUGGUAAUGAGUAAGUAACUAUAGAUGUUUCUAGCCAAGUCUCUGGGUGCCUCUGGGCUAUCCAGGAUCUAGAAAUGGGGGAAAUGUACAGAUGUAUAAAUAUGGAUUUUGGUCAAAUGAAAUACUCUUAUACAUUUUUUUUCUAUAAAGCAUGAGAAAAAUUUAACUAGGUUGUUGACUAUUAGUGAAAAAAAUAAUGUAUAGCAACAGUGAUUAAAUCUCUUUUUCAG